AACGCACAUUGCGCCCGCCAGUAUUCUGGCGGGCAUGCCUGCCCGAGCGUCAUUUCAACCCAUCAAGCCCAGCUUGUGUUGGAGCCCUGCGGCCGCCGCAGCCUCCCAAAAUCAGUGGCGGGCUCGUCAUCACACUGAGUGCAGUAGUGCUCUCGCUCCUGUGUUGUGGCGGGUUCCGGCCGUGAAACCCCCCAAGUUUUACAAGGUUGACCUCGGAUCAGGUAGGAAUACCCGCUGAACUUAA
rnacentral:misc_RNA from 1 species